GAACCGUCCAAACGUUUAUUUCGGAAUCACUGGGCUUAAAGGGUGCGUAGGCGGCUUGGCAAGUUGGGUGUGAAAGCCCUCGGCUCAACCGAGGAAUUGCGCCCAAAACUGCCUUGAUAGAGUGAGAUAGAGGUGAGCGGAACUUAUGGUGGAGCGGUGAAAUGCGUUGAUAUCAUAAGGAACGCCUGUGGCGAAAGCGGCUCACUGGAUCUCUACUGACGCUGAGGCACGAAAGCUAGGGUAGCGAACAGGAUUAGAUACCCUGGUAGUCCUAGCUGUAAACGAUGAGCACUGGGUUGGAGGCUCCUCCCAUAGGCUUCCGGCCGAAGCGAAAGUGUUAAGUGCUCCGCCUGGGAGUAUGGUCGCAAGGCUG
rnacentral:rRNA from 1 species